ensembl:lncRNA
AAAAAAAUGAACCAAAUGAGAUUUAUUGUCACAGUCUGGCGAGGGCAGACUGUAUGAAUUGAAAAAGGACCCAAAACGCAGACGCCAAGGAACAGGGAACAGAACUUGAAAUGUUAACAAAAGGCAAGCCGUUUAAUAAGGCUAGUAGAAGAGGUACAAACAAAGGGCAAGGCAAACUGAAGCAAAAUUAACACAAACCUAAACUGGGGAAUCUAAACAAGCAAUAAGAAAAACCUAGGCAAGAAACUUGGAAGCAUGGCAUGGGAAACAUGGCGUGGACAACAGACGACCUGACAAUCACACACUGAAAACAGAGGACUUAAAUACACAGGAGGUGAUUAGGGGAAGUGGAGACACAUGAGGAAACAGCUGGCACACAUGAACAUAAUGACGUCACAGUGGGAGAGUAAAACUGAACAUGAUGAACACAGAACACCAGACCUCUUCACAAUAAAACAGGAAACAUAAUGAGACAUAGACAUGACAACCCGAACUUGACAACGUAAGACACAGACAUGAAACGCAUGAAGAGCAGGGGAGAUUUAACAUGGUUGGAAACACGAGGGGAAAAUAAUAACUAGAAACACUUAGGCAUAAUAAUACAAACUUGAUAACAUAAGACACGCAGCAUGAAACACGAAGGGUGAGGGGAAGCUUAAAUACAGGGGAAGAAAACACAAGGAGUCUAAUAACCAAAUGAACUUAGAUAACCUAAUGAACAAAAUAAACUCAAACUUAAAACGCUGGGUCAAAAGACCCAGGACCAUGACAUUUAUAAUCUGUAGUCACUGCUGACAAUGUCACAAACCCUUUUUUUGAUUAAAAAAUAAAUAAAUAAAACUUGUUUUUCAUCCUCACUGAUCAUAUUUGGCUAGAGAAGGCUGAUAAAAGGCAAAAAAAAAAAAAACCCCAACAAAACAACAAGAAGCAAGGCAGCAAUUCUCCAGCGUUAGACACCACAAUCUACUCUGGGUAUACCAGCCAAUAAACAGGACUAGAAAAAAAGCUGAUAAUCCAUCAGAGAAAGAGGAAAAGAGACUGGCAAGAGAAGUUGAUGAUAGAACUGAGAUGGAUAGACCCUUAAAAAAUUGUCUAUUGGUUUUAUAAUAGCUGCUCUUGCUUAGCUGUGUGAAAAUACCAUUUCUAAUUUGGAAUAUAUCUGCAUUAUGCUCUCAAAAACAAUUUUCUGUAACAAAGCCAUUUUCAUCUUUGAAAAGUGUAGCUCAGUUUCCCGCACCUACUCUGAAAAGACAGCCAUCUGAUAAUGUUGCAACGCUUUGGGGUAAAAUAUUGCUAAGAAGUGGAAAACAAGAGAAGAGUUCUGAAAAUAACCUCUUAGAAAAUCAAAGCAGCGUGGAGUGAAGAAAAGGACUAUGUGACAACCCUGAAUCACAUCAGGAAUUAACUUGUGUGCAUUUUGUACAUAUGAGAUUUCUCUCAGCACAAAUGCAAAAGUUGCAUUUGCACCCUAGCCCUCUACACACAGAAUUUGAAAAUGCAUACAUUCAAAC